UCAAUUUGGACUCCUAAUGAUAUCAAUUUUGCGUCAUCAGGAAGACUAAUAUUUCUUUAUACUGGUACAGACACGUAGCAUUUGUCGAAUUUGUUAAUUCAGUUCACUCAUCAGUUAAAUUCAUUAUCGAAAUGGAGUUUGCAAGUUCUGAGAAGAAUAUAACACUGCCAAUUACUCAAGAACAAUCAUGGAAAGGGAAUUGAAAUAUUUAUCAAAAGGAGGCAUUACAAAAUCUCCAUUUUCUUAAAAAAAAAAAACGUUCAUAGUGCCCUCAUAAUGAUGGAUUAUGUCACAUUUGUUUUUCUUAUCAAAAGGUAAUGAAAAUAAUGCUUUUUCAUGUAAAUUUUGCCCUACAUGCAUAUAUUGUCGCGUUCAAAGAUGGUGAGGAUUUUCACGUCCAUCCUGUAUAAUAUUUUCGGAGGCAGCAAAAUGGCUUUUGCUAGAAGUUAUUAAAUAAUUUGCUUCACUCCCACUCCCUGGUUUGACCAAUCAUGAUUAAAAUUUCAAAUGAGUAUAUCAAAGAAACCACUUCACAUUAUUUUGCCAUGGUAAAUUCCAUUCAUAAACAUGUUUUGUUUCAUUACCGAACUAAAAAUCUUUUGCAAUAAAAUUUUUAAAGAUA